UGUGGGGGUCUUAGCCCCCUCAAACCCUGGCCUUCCCACGCGCUUGAGGGGGUUUGCCCUCGCCUCCGCCCCUGCCUCCAAAUCCCUUUUUAACAUACCACAUUGUCCCGCAGAACACAAGGACGAGAAAUUGGGGAGGGGGAGGGGAUCCGGAGGCCACAGCCAGCAAUCAGGGCCGUCCCUCCGCCCGGCAAGGACACACACGUCGCGAGCCCGGCCUGAAAUGUGUUUCAUUAUCACAUAAAAGGCUCCCGUGGCGAAGGAGCCGAGAGGCAGGGCCGGGGGCCGAGUGGGGGACAAUGGAGACUGAAAGCGCUGCCCUAACCUGCUAUGUUUCGUAUCGCAAGCUCAUUGUGCGAGGGUCGUUUUAAACUACUUAGCGAGCCCCCCUCCACUGAUCCCAGCCGAUAAGAUAUAGUUCUGUCCGAAUACAUAAGAAGGAUGUCGGGGAGCCCGGCGCUUUCGGAGGCUUUUCUGUGCCUCUUGUGCCUUUCACACUCCGCUCCCGCCUCCGCCCCUCCCCCAGCCCGGGCGCCCAGCAUGCGGCUCGCACUGCGCCCUCCGCCCGUCGCCAGGACUCUUAAGUAUUGUAAGGUGUAGAGAUUCUGUUUUCCUCCCUCUCUUUCUCUUCUUCCUUUUCCGCGCGCUCUCCGCGCGCCGGUUUAAGCAACCGUGAUCUGUGAAUAAACAAAGUCAGUAAACAACCGAAAAAAACAUUCUAGAUCCGAAUUCCAGGAGGGUAAACUUUCCAUGCCACGUCACACUUCAGCAAAUUUGCACAGAUAUUAUAUUGCCUCCCACCUCCCUUCUUUUUUUUGCCAGGAUCCCAUUGUACUUAACUGAAUUUUAUAACGCUGAUCGAUAUCUUGGUAAAAUAUUCAUUUUUAAACUAGCGGGCAGUGAAAUCUUUGCUUUGUGUGCUAAAGUCAACAGUCGCUCCGUUUGAGCUUGAAUAAAUGCGCGGAUGCCUCGGCUCGGAGCAGUCGGCCACCUCCCUCCGUGCUCAGGAUGCUCCGCCACCCGCCGGCCGCAGCGCAGGUACAUGGUGGCUGCGGAGCAGCCCGAGAGUGGCGGCGCACCAGGCUCCUUGCCAUUGGCGCGCACGGGUUCGAGUCCAGUCCCGGAGUCCCCCCUGAAGCCCUCAGACCACGCAGCAGCAGG